CACAAAAACACAGAUCUCAUCUCAGGUUCUUCUGGAGGCAGUGGAGAAGAUCUCCCCCCACCACCCCAAUGCAAAAACAUUAAGUUGUUUUUCUGGAAGUGGGUUCAAAGAAUCAUUAUUUUGAAGUGGCCUUCUCCAACCUUUUCCCACUGAGCUGAAGCCAGAGAGAAUUCCUUUCUUCUGAUGAAACCCUGCAGCCAGUGCGCCUGAGCUGUUGAUGACUUAUAAACAGAAGUCAAAGGGAAUUUGAGCUUCUGUCAAGACCAAUUCCAAAUAUAAUAAAAAGGGAGAUGAUUGGAUGUCUCUUCAAGGCUUUGGAGGAGCUCUCUUGUGCUUUGGCUGUUCUUUGAAAUCGCAAGAAAAAGAGAUAAAAAGUAAAGUUUCUGGCUCUCAUUUGUUACCUAUUUUGGCAGAAAUGUUUGUGUUUCCAGUAGCUCUUGUCUCAAACCGUAGCUUCUUUCUUUUUCUCAUCUUUCUCUCUCUCUUUCUUUCUU